rnacentral:rRNA from 1 species
GAUGAACGCUGGCGGCGUGCCUAACACAUGCAAGUCGAGCGAUUCUCUUCGGAGAAGAGCGGCGGACGGGUGAGUAACGCGUGGGUAACCUGCCCUGUACACACGGAUAACAUACCGAAAGGUAUGCUAAUACGAGAUGAUAUGCUUUUAUCGCAUGGUAGAAGUAUCAAAGCUCCGGCGGUACAGGAUGGACCCGCGUCUGAUUAGCUGGUUGGUGAGGCAACGGCCCACCAAGGCGACGAUCAGUAGCCGACCUGAGAGGGUGAUCGGCCACAUUGGAACUGAGACACGGUCCAAACUCCUACGGGAGGCAGCAGUGGGGAAUAUUGCACAAUGGGCGAAAGCCUGAUGCAGCAACGCCGCGUGAGCGAUGAAGGCCUUCGGGUCGUAAAGCUCUGUCCUCAAGGAAGAUAAUGACGGUACUUGAGGAGGAAGCCCCGGCUAACUACGUGCCAGCAGCCGCGGUAACAC